GUAAGGUUGUGUCCUUCUAAAAAUAGUCUAAAAGUUGUGACUAUUCACUAGUAUCUUUUAAAAAGUGAGAAGUUGUGAGUAUUAGAAGAAUGCAACUAUUCAUAUUGAAGGGUUGUGACUAUUCAAAUAGGCUUUAAAAAAUCUAUAAAUAGUCUCUUCCAUGCAUUUUUCAAAUCAAAUUUUCACUAAUCUACUAAUAAUAAAAUGGUGAAAAAAAUAAUGUCAAAGUUGCAACUUUUCAUCUAAACAAGGUGUCUUUUAAUCUCAAAGUGGGAUUGCUUUAAAAAAUAUUGGUUUUAUUUAAGUAAUGUGUUAGUUUAUAUAAUAAGUGUUGGUAUUUUAUAAGAACUCUCCCAAAAAUU